GACAGAGGUGCCGAGCGUUAGGCGGAAUCACUGGGCUUAAAGCGUGUGUAGGCGGACUUCUAAGUGCUUUGUGAAAUCCCCCGGCUCAACCGGGGAACGGCUUGGCAUACUGGGAGUCUUGAGCCAUCUAGGGGCAACCGGAACAAACGGUGGAGCGGUGAAAUGCGUAGAUAUCGUUUGGAACGCCAAUGGUGAAAACAGGUUGCUGGGGAUGUGCUGACGCUGAGACACGAAAGCCAGGGGAGCGAACGGG
rnacentral:rRNA from 1 species